GCCCACGAUAUGCAACAGGUGGUUUUGGAAUUCCCAUUGUUAGCCUCUCCUGCCCACGAUAUGCAACAGGUGGUUUGGAAUUCCCAUUGUUAGCCUGUUCUGCCCACGAUAUACAACAGGUGGUUUGGAAUUCCCAUUGUUAGCCUCUCCUGCCCACGAUAUACAACAGGUGGUUUGGAAUUCCCAUUGUUAGCCUGUUCUGCCCACGAUAUACAACAGGUGGUUUGGAAUUCCCAUUGUUAGCCUCUCCUGCCCACGAUAUACAACAGGUGGUUUGGAAUUCCCAUUGUUAGCCUCUCCUGCCCACGAUAUACAACAGGUGGUUUGGAAUUCCCAUUGUUAGCCUCUCCUGCCCACGAUAUACAACAGGUGGUUUGGAAUUCCCAUUGUUAGCCUCU